AUUGCUUCUCAGCCUUUUGGCUAAGAUCAAGUGUAGUAUCUGUUCUUUUUUUUUUUUUUUGUAGUAUCUGUUCUUACCAGCUUAA
rnacentral:snRNA from 1 species